UGGAUUUAUGUCACUGGACAACUGACUUCGUGUCCAGGAGAUUUCUGGAUGACCAAGAUUAUCUACGUUCUGAGGACUUCGUCUCCUAACUAUUGUUCCCAUCUGGGUUACCGACCAAGCUGGCAGUUUCCUGCUUCCUCCAUCUCCAGGACCUAAGCCUAAGCGUACCCUGUCCACCCUCCAACGCAAGUAUAUGCACAAACGAACUCACUCAAUCAUCUCCAAGCUCACCCAAGACGCACCUAAGAAACCAACAGAACAAACUCUGCUACAACAACUUGGAUCCCGAAUCCCUCUACCCCUGGCGACCUGACCGCACCCACUUAUUUGGAGUUACGCCCGUUUUCGUUCCUGAUUAUUUUGUGGCACAAUAAAUAUCAUUUCACUCA